rnacentral:miRNA from 1 species
CCUGUACAGGUUUUGCAAUA